UUGCUCGUUUCGGCAGCAUAUAUACUAAAAUUGGAAUGAUAGAAAGAAGAUUAACAUGGCCUCGUGCAAGAUGACACCCAACUUCAUGAAGUGUUCCAUAUUAGA